GAGUUUGAUCCUGGCUCAGAGCGAACGCUGGCGGCAGGCCUAACACAUGCAAGUCGAGCGGAUGUAGCAAUACAUCAGCGGCAGACGGGAGAGUAACACGUGGGAACGUGCCCUUUGGUUCGGAAUAACUCGGCGAAAGCCGUGCUAAUACCGGAUAAGCCCUUACGGGGAAAGAUUUAUCGCCAUUGGAGCGGCCCGCGUCUGAUUAGCUAGUUGGUGAGGUAACGGCUCACCAAGGCGACGAUCAGUAGCUGGUCUGAGAGGAUGAUCAGCCUCACUGGGACUGAGACACGGCCCAGACUCCUACGGGAGGCAGCAGUGGGGAAUAUUGGACAAUGGGCGCAAGCCUGAUCCAGCCAUGCCGCGUGGAUGAUGAAGGCCUUAGGGUUGUAAAGUCCUUUUAACGGGGAAGAUAAUGACGGUACCCGUAGAAUAAGCCCCGGCUAACUUCGUGCCAGCCGCCGCCGUAAC
rnacentral:rRNA from 1 species